rnacentral:rRNA from 1 species
GCUAUAAUGCAGUCGAGCGAAUGGAUUAAGAGCUUGCUCUUAUGAAGUUAGCGGCGGACGGGUGAGUAACACGUGGGUAACCUGCCCAUAAGACUGGGAUAACUCCGGGAAACCGGGGCUAAUACCGGAUAACAUUUUGAACUGCAUGGUUCGAAAUUGAAAGGCGGCUUCGGCUGUCACUUAUGGAUGGACCCGCGUCGCAUUAGCUAGUUGGUGAGGUAACGGCUCACCAAGGCAACGAUGCGUAGCCGACCUGAGAGGGUGAUCGGCCACACUGGGACUGAGACACGGCCCAGACUCCUACGGGAGGCAGCAGUAGGGAAUCUUCCGCAAUGGACGAAAGUCUGACGGAGCAACGCCGCGUGAGUGAUGAAGGCUUUCGGGUCGUAAAACUCUGUUGUUAGGGAAGAACAAGUGCUAGUUGAAUAAGCUGGCACCUUGACGGUACCUAACCAGAAAGCCACGGCUAACUACGUGCCAGCAGCCGCGGUAAUACGUAGGUGGCAAGCGUUAUCCGGAAUUAUUGGGCGUAAAGCGCGCGCAGGUGGUUUCUUAAGUCUGAUGUGAAAGCCCACGGCUCAACCGUGGAGGGUCAUUGGAAACUGGGAGACUUGAGUGCAGAAGAGGAAAGUGGAAUUCCAUGUGUAGCGGUGAAAUGCGUAGAGAUAUGGAGG